rnacentral:miRNA from 1 species
AGAUUUAACAUGGAAUAA